UACGUAGGGUGCAAGCGUUGUCCGGAAUUAUUGGGCGUAAAGAGCUCGUAGGCGGUUUGUCGCGUCGGCUGUGAAAUCUCGGGGCUUAACCCCGAGCCUGCAGUCGAUACGGGCAGACUUGAGUUCGGUAGGGGAGACUGGAAUUCCUGGUGUAGCGGUGAAAUCCGUAGAUAUAGGGAGGAACACCGAUGGCGUAGGCAGAUAACUGGCUCAUUCCUGACACUAAGGCACGAAAGCGUGGGGAGCAAACGGG
rnacentral:rRNA from 1 species